GACGAACGCUGGCGGCGUGCCUAAUACAUGCAAGUUGAGCGCUGAAGGUUGGUACUUGUACCGACUGGAUGAGCAGCGAACGGGUGAGUAACGCGUGGGGAAUCUGCCUUUGAGCGGGGGACAACAUUUGGAAACGAAUGCUAAUACCGCAUAAAAACUUUAAACACAAGUUUUAAGUUUGAAAGAUGCAAUUGCAUCACUCAAAGAUGAUCCCGCGUUGUAUUAGCUAGUUGGUGAGGUAAAGGCUCACCAAGGCGAUGACACAUAGCCGACCUGAGAGGGUGAUCGGCCACAUUGGGACUGAGACACGGCCCAAACUCCUACGGGAGGCAGCAGUAGGGAAUCUUCGGCAAUGGACGAAAGUCUGACCGAGCAACGCCGCGUGAGUGAAGAAGGUUUUCGGAUCGUAAAACUCUGUUGGUAGAGAAGAACGUUGGUGAGAGUGGAAAGCUCAUCAAGUGACGGUAACUACCCAGAAAGGGACGGCUAACUACGUG
rnacentral:rRNA from 1 species